UACAAAAGAAGAAAAAACUUUAUUCAUUCUCUCCAUCUUCUUCUUCAUUUUGUUUACUCAGGAUUAAUCUAUCCAUUCCAAUCGAAGAAACACAAAUGGAUUGGCCUUGUUCAAAGUCGAAUUCAGGAACCCUAAUCCGUCAAGCCACUGGAUCUCGUCGUCGUAGCCUCUUCGUCUUCUUCUUCUUUCCGAAACUCCUCCAUCCACGGCGAAUUGGCUCCUUCGCCUUCCUCCGUCGCUCUUCGGCACCAUCACAUUUCCCGUCUCUCGCUUCUUCUUCUUAUUCCCUUCGUUUUAUCAGUUUCAGUUGCACAGGUCACUGAGGAGCAGCUUUGGGCAGGUCUAAGUCUCUUUUACAAGUUCAUCUUUGUUUGUGGUGUGUUCUUUGUCACGACUGGUUUUGGUUGUUUAGGUUGUUGACUGUUCCAUCACAUUCUGGGUCGUGUCUUGCUUUGUCUCCGCCGUUUUAGCCACCGCUUCAUAGAUCUGCCGUGUUCGAGAUCUGCCGUGUUCGACCUCGUGGCCGCUAAUCUAAGUACACUUCGGUUAAGCCAUUGGGAGAUUGAGUUUUGGUGAAGAUCAAGGAGGCAGAGGAAAAGACUAUGGAAGGUUUAUCUUUUUGUUAUGACUUGCAUAUAUCUCUCUCUCUCUUUUGCUUUCACUUGUAUGGUGCUAACUCUAUAGUAUAGAGCUCCAAAAGUUCUUCCGACUUGAGGAAUCUAAGGAAUUUUUUUUAUGACUUGGACGCUUUGAUGAAUACCCAAGGGUCGGAUCCAGCUUUUUCAUAAGAGGCGGUGAAGAGCUGAAAGUUUUAAAUUGUCAAAUUGCUCCACGGAACCUUCUAGGGAGCUACCUCACUAGACAGGUGGUAAACAAAUAUGCUUAUGUAAUGUAAACCAGAAAAAUACAAAGUUUUCCCCGAUAUUGCUGUCACACCGUAUUAACUUUUUAGGGUAUUAACGUUUAGUCAGAGUUUCUUAGAUUCGGGUUGCUAGAAUCUAAGGACUAGAUUCGCUGGACUUUGUAUUUUGAAAGCGUAAACUGAAUAAAAUUUUUGUUUU